rnacentral:rRNA from 1 species
UACGUAGGGGGCGAGCGUUGUCCGGAUUUAUUGGGCGUAAAGAGCUCGUAGGCGGUGUGUCGCGUCGGCCGUGAAAACCUGCAGCUUAACUGUGGGCUUGCGGUCGAUACGGGCAUCACUGGAGUUCGGCAGGGGAGACUGGAAUUCCUGGUGUAGCGGUGAAAUGCGCAGAUAUCAGGAGGAACACCGGUGGCGAAGGCGGGUCUCUGGGCCGGUACUGACGCUGAGGAGCGAAAGCGUGGGGAGCGAACAGG